CAGAGGUGGCAAGCGUUGUUCGGAAUUACUGGGCGUAAAGGGCGCGUAGGCGGCCUUCUAAGUCAGACGUGAAAUCCCCAGGCUUAACUUGGGAACUGCGUCUGAUACUGGAGGGCUCGAGUGCGGGAGAGGGAUGUGGAAUUCCAGGUGUAGCGGUGAAAUGCGUAGAUAUCUGGAGGAACACCGGUGGCGAAGGCGGCAUCCUGGACCGACACUGACGCUGAGGCGCGGAAGCUAGGGGAGCAAACGGGAUUAGAUACCCCGGUAGUCCUAGCCCUAAACGAUGAGUGCUUGGUGUGGCGGGUAUCGAUCCCUGCCGUGCCGAAGCUGACGCAUUAAGCACUCCGCUUGGGGAGUACGGUCGCAAGGCUG
rnacentral:rRNA from 1 species